rnacentral:tRNA from 2 species
GCGCCCGUAGCUCAGCAGGAUAGAGCGUCCGCCUCCUAAGCGGAAGGUCGGGGAUUCGAAUUCCUUCGGGCGCGCCA